GUGGGUAUAGCUUAGUGGUAGAGCACAUGCUUAGCAUGGACGAGGCCCUGGGUUCAAUCCUCAGUACCUCCA
rnacentral:tRNA from 1 species